UCACCUAACCUAUCAAUAUCUCUCUGUAAACUGUUUGAAUCCCCUCACAAUUUGCCUUUCCACCUGUAGUUGAAGCUCUCUUAUCUCAGCCCAAAUUCAGUUGUGUACCCCAUUUGUUGCUUUUUAUUUACAUGGGUUCCAUGGGUCCUUGCCUGGCUGCUGAGUCCAAUCCUAGAGUGGCAUCUCACAUUUGGCAGGUGUUUCAGGGAGAUGGACAAAUCCUUGGACUCGAGAUUGCUGUGGAAGUAAUACCAUUGAAUGACGAUGGUCAAUGGUUAGAUUUGCCUGUCACUUGUGUGGCACAAAUGUUCCUUGCCCCUUGUUAGCCCAUGCCUGUAUAUUGUCCCGAUCUUGCUGCAUUUGGAUAUGAACAGCUUUGGUAUACUCAGAGUCACAAUAGUAUUGACCAUUACAUAUCAUCAUUGAAUAUCUGCACUUCAGGGGAUGAUGAAUGAAAGGUCAUUGAUGAAGCAGCUGAAGAUAGUUGGACCUAGGACACUACCUUGAGGAGCAUCUGUUGUGACGUACUCGAUCUGAGACGACAGACCUCCAACAGCCACAUUCAUCCUCUUUUAUGCUUGAAAUGUCUCCACACAGUUGCGAGUAUUCCCCCAAUUCCCAUUGCCUCUAGUUUUGCGAGGGCUCCUUGAUAUCAUACUGGGUCAAAUGCAUGUUUGAUGUCAAGGGCAGCUGCACUCACCUCCGUUCUGGAGUUCAAUUUUUUUAUCCAUGUUUGAGCCAAGCUGUAACAAGAUGAGGAGCUGAGUGGCCUUAGCAGAACCCAGAACUGAGCAUCAGUGAACAUGUUAUUGCUAAAAAAAAGUGCUGCAUGAUAGCACUGUUGAUGUUCCCUCCAUUUUUACUAACGAUGAAGAGUUAACUGAUGUAGUAUUUGGCUGGGUUGGAUUUGUCCUGCGAUUGUUUAUAGAUUGUCAGGUAGAUUCCUGUGUUGCACACUGUAUUAGAACAGCUUAGCUAAAGCCACAGCAAAUCCUGAAGCACAAAUGUUUGGUACUAUUGAUGGAAUACUGUUAGGGUCCUACAGCUUUUGCAGUAGCCAGUGCCUUCAGCCAUUUCUUGAUGUCAUGUGGAGUGAAUUGAAUUGGCUAAAGGCAGGCAUCUGAGAGGCUGUGAAUUUCUAGAGGAGGCAGAAAUGAAUCAUCCAUCCACCACUUCUGGCUAAAGAUUGUUACAAAUGCCUUACCUUUUGCCGUAAUGUGCUAGGCUCCCCAUCAUUGAGGAUGAAGGUAUUUGUGAAACUUCCUUUAGUGAUUUAAUUGUCCACCCCAUUCAUGAAUGCAGCAGGCUCGCAGAACUUGGAUCUGAUCAUUUGUUUAUAUAAUUGUUUUACUGCAUCUCAUUUGUGCUUAUGCUGUUUGGCAUGCAGGCAGAGGUGUAUUGUAGGCUUACCAGGUGGACACCUCAUUUCUAGUUACGCUUGGUGCUACUUUUGACAUGCCCUCCUGCAUUUUUUAUUGAAGUAGUGUUAAUCCUUUGGACUGAUGGUAAUGAUAGAAUGGGGAAUAUGCUGGGCCAUGAGGCUUGUACUGCUGCUGAUGGCCUACAGUGCCUCGUGGAUGGUCAGUCAUAAAUUGCCAGAUUCGAAUGAAGUCUGUCCCAUUUAGCAUGGGUGGUAGUUCUGUACAAUAUGAUAGAGCAUAUCCUCAAAGUGAGCAAGGGAAAUCAGAGCAAAAAAAAUAGUGUUGUAAUGCUGUAUGUUUAAAUAAUGCACUAAGUGAGCUGGUAACAAAAACAGAACAUCUUGACUACAACAUACUUUUUGUUUUCCCCUGUAAUGCAUUGUCCUGUGUGAUCACAUUGCUGCUGAAAAGUGGAAAAAUGCACCAUUCCCACGCUGAUAUUUCACCAUUGUGAAUAUGUGGAAAACACAUUUUGUACUAAACAAAAAUCAACUUCUAUACGCAUAUUAUAAUCACCACAAAGACAGCAGAAGAAAUUUCAUAAAUCAAUUCUUCACAGUUCCUCCUGAAGCAGUAUGGAAAGCAUGCAGUGCCUACAGAGUAUAUGGAUCAUCAGGAACCCCAAAGGGGACUAAAUGCAUCUUCAACUUAUGCCGUGGGUGCUGCAAGAAGAAAGCUUUCAAAGAGCUGGCUGAUUGCACAGGUCAUGGAUUACUUUUCAAAACUAAACAUGAAAAGAGAUUGAAAUGGAAAUUAUUGGAAGAAGGAAUACUGGAAAAUGGAGACAAAAUUCACGAACAUUUGGAUCCAUGAAGAAAUCACUCUCAACAAAUUGAUUGGGUAUCUGUGGUGUCACACGUGCAUGUACACACACUUAUACAUGCACACACAUUUGUACAUGCAUACACAAACACACAUACAGACACAUUCAAAUAUGGGUAUUUAUGCACAGGGCUCAAGGUGAUGUUUCUUUGAUUAAGUGUUACUUAUUUUUUGAAUUCCACUUAGAAGUAUUCCAAUCAAUUGGCAACAUUUUGCUUGUUCUGAUUACAGCCCAGUAUUUUCAUGUCCAAAUUGGCUUAUUUUGGCACCUUGCUUGCCCAUCCUGAUUUUAAUUUAUGAUUUAUAUUGUAGUCAACAGCGACAUUUAUCCGUGACAGUAGAAUCACAAACAAAAAUAUGCUUUCCAUGACAAUAUUAAAUGUCCUGUCUCUAUGAAUACAGAAGGUACACCAUUCAAUCAGUAUUUGGUAAGGAGCAUACAAGAAUGAUAAAAGGGAAAUGGUAAUUACAGAUGCAAGUGGCACUAAUCUGGUAAAAGUUCUAAAUUUCUCCCAGGUCCUAGUGCCUAAUAGAUUUCACCUGAUUAUCUUUAAUGUUUUGCAGCAAGAAAAGAAGAAUUUUAAAACAUAUAUUUUAUAAACAAUGUUCUCCACAAAAAAAUUGUAAAACAAAAUAGACCCACAAGCAUUUUUUAAAAAUGUAGUCAAUUCUAAUAAUCUCUUAUUUUUGGACUUGGAGCUUCAAUUCUACAGAGUUGUAAGUUCUUACACUGUGUGACACCUGCACUGCUUUUAGAAAUUGUGUUAAUCUCUACUGUACUGAGUACGUGAGAUUGUGUACACGAAAUUUACUGACCCAAGAAAAAGUUACUUAGGAACCUUAUCAAAAUUAUUUAAUGGAAGUGUGAAUGUUUGAAUCCUGUAGUUUUUUUUCUUUGCCUUUGCAUGUGGGAAGUGUGAUACAGAGAUGGCUUUUUGAAUUGCCUUGGCCACGAUAAUGAACAGAUUGUUUCUCAACAGUCUGCUAAAUUUUAUCAGUGAACUUAAAGGACCAAAUUCAUUCCCUUGAAAUUUGUGGUUGCUUCAAUAUGCAUCAAAGAAAUGCAAAUGUCUUUUAAAACUAAGUAUGCAGCAUUAAAUUAUUCUGAAUUCAUUUGCUAUUACAGUAAUUAGAGUAAUCUGUAAAGCAUAUGCAAUCAUUUCAAAUAAAGUAAACUUAAAUGUAUUUGAUAGAUGACAGCUGAGUGAAUUCCAGUGGUAACAAUUUGUAUUGCUGAAGGAAAUUAACAUAUCAGUUUGCGUUUUAAGAAUGUCUCCUUGCUAUAUUCUGAUUUUUACUCUAAUUAAAUUAUAGCUGAUUCACAAGUGAAUAACUUUGUUGGUCAUAGCAUAAAAGUGAGACAAUAUUUCCCUGUGCUGGAACUAACAUCUGCUUAACUGAAAUUUAAUGCACGCUGAUUAGCUCAUUUUAUCCAGUUGCCUCUUAAGCUUAAAGCACAGUAUUAGUGUUGGGGAAAGAUAAAGCAAUCAUGUAGUUUCAUUGCAUUGGUACUAAUACAGGUACUCUGAUCACUAGCUGUAACUCUCAAUGGCCUGCAGUGGUUUGUUCUUUACUGUUAAAAUAAUAACCAGGAGUAUAGAAAUGCAUAAUGAUCUGGAUACAAGCAACAUGCUCUCUAAUUCUUAGAGGAUGAAAUUGACCAAUGACAGUCAUGCAAAACUGACUAAACGUGAAUUAGAAAAUAAAAUUGAGCAACCGAUUUGCUUUCAUUCAUUUUGCAUUAUUACUAUUGAUCACUUGUCACUGAAUUCCGCCCCCCUCAAGAAACUAAAACUCCCCACUCCCCACUAAAUUAUUCAUUAAGUGUCCUUGCCCUUUGUGGUUAGAUGGAUACAUUGAGCACCAGGACUUUGAGGAAAAAAAAGGGAUCUUAAUAAAACUGCAUCUGAGUUAUUUUAAAUAUAGCCAUUUGGUAACAGCUGACGUAUGCUGCUUGGCCUGCUGUGUUCGUCCAGCCCUGCACCUUGUUGUCUCGGAUUCUCCAGCAUCUGCAGUUCCUACUAUCUCGUAAGGAAACCUAAAACUGGUUUCCUGAUUUAAGGCAUUUCUGAAACCAGCUUUUAAAUAAUAUUUUCUGUGAAAGACUUGAGGAAACAUUUUGUCAGAAUAACAACUGUUGAAUGGCAAAUUUAUAAUUUUGGUGACUUAAUAUUUUCCUUGGAAAUAUUUAAUAAAGCUUCAAUUUUGUGUAUAA